UCCUGGUAGCUUAGACAGGAGAGUCUGCCUGCAAUGCAGGAGACCCAGGUUCGAUCCCUGGGUCAGGAA
rnacentral:tRNA from 1 species